UUACAUUAAAGUAUCAUUCGAUAAUUUUUAACAGUAAGCUUAAAUUCAGAUAAAUCGUAGUUAAAUUCAACGCUAAAUUUCAGGUUCGUUUCCCAGUCCUAGCUCAACUCACUCAACAGACUAGUUUUAUUGCGUCCACCGUCAUUCUGGAUGGAAAUGUUAAUGUUUCAUUUAUUUCUCCACUCUUUCCGAGGUAAUUCGUUUGUAGUUGGAAGCGUAGUUUUUUACUGGCACAUUUCGACUACACACUGUUGCUGCUGCUGCUGCUGCAGCCCCUGGUUCUGUCAUCGCCACCCGGUCCGGUCCGGUCUGUUUCGGAAGCAAACCAGCCGCCAUAGAGACGACACAUUCUGUUGUUGGGUUGUUGCUUCUUCGUCGCCUGGAUCUAGCAGGAGCGAGGAGGCGCUCAAGUCCACAGAAAUAGUUGUGCUGUAUAUACCUAGUAGGUACUAGGGUUUUGUACCGAACGAAAGAUGAUCAUUAUCGUGCAGGCAGGACUGGCCCGGUUCGAGGUUUUUCCUAGCUCGGAUUCACCCGCACACAAAAUCCCGGUUGCAUUCCUUGCUUUACGGAUGUACGGUCACCGCAGUGUAUGUAAGAUAUUCGCUGUUUUUCUUGCGCAACUGGAAGGCUGGAACUCUUUCUCUCAUUUAAGAAAUGAGUUUAUGGUUUCGCUUUAAAUCAAUUCAGUUCGACGAGAUAUUGCUUGAUCACGAUGGGGAGUUAUUGUCCAAUUCAACUCGAAUGUUGUUGCGCUGUCAUCGGUUGUUUCAUAGGGCUUUCGUUGGUAAGAUUGUAAUUGUUUAUUGUCUGUAGUAA